rnacentral:rRNA from 1 species
UAACGCGUGAGAAUCUGCCUUCAGGACGGGGACAACAGUUGGAAACGACUGCUAAUACCCGAUAUGCCGAGAGGUGAAAUCUUAUUUGGCCUGAAGAUGARCUCGCGUCUGAUUAGCUAGUUGGUGGUGUAAGGGACCACCAAGGCGACGAUCAGUAGCUGGUCUGARAGGAUGARCAGCCACACUGGGACUGARACACGGCCCARACUCCUACGGGAGGCAGCAGUGGGGAAUUUUCCGCAAUGGGCGAAAGCCUGACGGARCAAUACCGCGUGAGGGAGGAAGGUCUUUGGAUUGUAAACCUCUUUUCUCAAGGAAGAAUAAAUGACGGUACUUGAGGAAUAAGCACCGGCUAACUCCGUGCCAGCAGCCGCGGUAAUACGGAGGGUGCAAGCGUUAUCCGGAAUUAUUGGGCGUAAAGAGUCCGUAGGUGGUCAUGCAAGUCUGCUGUCAAARCCCACAGCUUAACUGUGGAUCGGCGGUGGAAACUGUGUGACUUGAGUACGGUAGGGGUARAGGGAAUUCCCAGUGUAGCGGUGAAAUGCGUAGAUAUUGGGAARAACACCGGGUGGCGAAAGCGCUCUACUGGACCGU